UACGGGGGGAGCAAGCGUUGUUCGGAUUUACUGGGCGUAAAGGGCGCGUAGGCGGUCGUGACAAGUCACUUGUGAAAUCUCCGGGCUUAACUCGGAACGGUCAAGUGAUACUGUCGGACUAGAGUACAGAAGGGGCAACUGGAAUUCUCGGUGUAGCGGUGAAAUGCGUAGAUAUCGAGAGGAACACCAGUGGCGAAGGCGAGUCCCUGGACAGGUCCUGACGCUGAGGCACGAAAGCUAGGGGAGCAAACAGG
rnacentral:rRNA from 1 species